rnacentral:lncRNA from 1 species
AUUUGCACCCCAUUUUCUUCCUCGGCCGAAUAUGUAAGGAACUGGUGAUGGCGAAGUGGUAUCGGUGCUGUUCUUUGAAACCACAUCAGAAGAUAUCUGGCUUGCGGGUGAGCCUAAACCAACUAUCCCCAUCCCACCACCCUGCAGCCCUGUGGUCUGAACCAGAUUAUUAUUCAUAGAAGGGUCACCAAUUCCAACCACUGAACCCUUAGCACCCGGACUAGCGAGCAGUGUCGUGUUCAUAAGGUGCAUAGGAGGAGCAAAAGCAACUACUUGUUGCUUGGGAAAGAGUGGCUGUGGCUGCUGUUGCAGCUGUGACGAUGAUUUGACUCCACUUGCAAACCCAUUGUUUGUAUUUGCCUGUUGAAACCCGAGAGCUAAAGCCGAGUUGUCAGCGAAGAAUCCACCAUUGUUCACCAUCCCAAUCUGUUGCAUAUCUUCCCUUACAACACCUGCCCUUGCCAAGAACUCCUCAAGCGUCAUCGUUCCUAACGUCUGUUGCCUCUGCGGCAAAUUCGCUUCUCCACCGGUACUUCCAUCAUUACUGCCACCAUCACUUUCUUUCAUCAAGUACUUCCAUACUUCAUCGACCGUUUUUUGACUCAAAGUCCUCGGCAACGUCAGCGACCCUUGUUUCUGCAAAUUCCCACCAGAAACAUCUCCUCCUUCACCCACACUAACCGAAGCCGUCAUAGCU